UACGUAGGGUGCAAGCGUUAUCCGGAAUUAUUGGGCGUAAAGAGCUCGUAGGCGGUUUGUCGCGUCUGCUGUGAAAACUGGGGGCUCAACCCCCAGCCUGCAGUGGGUACGGGCAGACUAGAGUGCGGUAGGGGAGAUUGGAAUUCCUGGUGUAGCGGUGGAAUGCGCAGAUAUCAGGAGGAACACCGAUGGCGAAGGCAGAUCUCUGGGCCGUAACUGACGCUGAGGCACGAAAGCGUGGGGAGCAAACAGG
rnacentral:rRNA from 1 species